UACGUAGGCAGCGAGCGUUGUUCGGAGUUACUGGGCGUAAAGGGUGUGUAGGCGGUUGUUUAAGUUUGGUGUGAAAUCUCCCGGCUCAACUGGGAGGGUGCGCCGAAUACUGAAUGACUUGGAGUGCGGGAGAGGAAAGUGGAAGUUCCUGGUGUAGCGGUGAAAUGCGUAGAUAUCAGGAGGAACACCGGUGGUGUAGACGGCUUUCUGGACCGAUACUGACGCUGAGGAGCGAAAGCCAGGGGAGCAAACGGG
rnacentral:rRNA from 1 species